rnacentral:lncRNA from 1 species
CCAAGUCUUAGGCUCCUGGUGCCACCAGGUCAGGACCACGGCAUCCCUCCGCCCUUGAAGGAAACCCAGGAAGCCUGUGCUUUGGGGCCAGGGCAUUCCUCGCUUUAUCUACUAGGGCUGCUGUAAAAAGUGACUCCAGCCUGGGCAGCGUAAAGCACAGAAAGGCAUCCUCUCGCCGUUCCGAUGCCAGAAGACCAAAGCCGAGGCAGGGCAGGGCAGGGCAGGGCACGGCUCCUGCUGCAGGCUCUGAAAACUCUCCUCUUCCCUCCCACUUUCCAUGGAUGCCAGCAGCUUGUGGUGACCAUCGUCCUGGGGCCACGCUGCCCAGCCCGGCCUGGCCUCUCUUCCGAUGUCCGUCCUGCUGUGCUCACUCCAGCCUCUCCCUCUCCUUAGAAAGACAUCGUCCUGGUAUUGGGACCGCCUUCCCUCUGUGCGGCCUCAUCUGAACUUGGGGCCACUGCAAAGGCCGAGGUCACAGUCACAGGCUCCGGGGUGAAGCUGUCAACACGUCCUUCUAGGGACACAGUUCAACCCAUGACACGUCCUGUCAUUCAUUCCAUGAAAGAAAUCCAUGCUGGGCACCCCACAUGUCCGGCUGGGAUGUGAGCACCAGGCAGAGGCCUGCCCUGGGAGCUCUGGCAGACCCUCCAAGCCAGGGGUUUCCUCCCCUCGCCCAGCUCCUGCACAGUGAAGGGUGGCUGUGGCCAGCGCAUUGGCCAUGACAGCAGCCACCCUGGCUCCCGGGACGACACCUUGUGGCAUUCAGCUCUGUGCCCAGCGGGCCCUGUACGAGAGCGAAGAGGGCUUUAUUUUGACUCCUAGGAGCCAGCUGUUAAUGCCUGGUCACCACCUCCUCAGGAGACCCUCGGCGUGGCCACCAAGGGCAGCAAAGUGUGGUACAUCUCUGCCAUUUCCUGUGCAGGAAAGCUUUCUUCAGAAGCUACUGGAAAGCAGCCUGGAGAGGGACGCUGCUGUUGAGGAUCCUGCCUGCUCCUUCGCUGCCCGCGCUGACCUUCCUCAGACCUCCCACGUGUGUUGCCUGGCAGCUCUCGGGCAACGUGGAGUCAGCAGCGCACCUGCCUCACCCCAAGAGGAUUCUCACGUCAGAAGUACCUCCUCCACAUGUGCCUGGGAAUUCUUUGUUGUAUCACAUUUAUUAUUUGUUGCCCUAAAUAAAAUCCACCCCAGCAAUGGGCCCUCCUUGAAGUGCUGCUGUUGUUUGAGAGGAACCGACUUUACAAGUCCACGUAUGACACUCGGUUAUUUCUCCGUUAUUUCUCUAGGAGUUGCACAAAACACAGACUCCUAUGAAACGCACUUGAGGGCCGAGCACGGUGGUUCAUGCCUGUAAUCCCACACUUUGGGAGGCUGAGGCAGGAGGAUUGCUUGAGCUCAGAAGUUCAAGACCAGCCUGGAUGACAUAGGGAGACCUCAUCCCUUAAAAAAAAAAAAAAAAAAAA